rnacentral:pre_miRNA from 1 species
GGGGAGUGCCGGAUCUUGGGCUGUGUCCCCUGGCGCCUUGGGCUCCGGGGCCUGCGCUGCUGGAAUCGCACUCCCGGGGAGCUCCAG